rnacentral:rRNA from 1 species
GACAGAGGGGGCAAGCGUUGCUCGGAAUUACUGGGCGUAAAGGGCGCGUAGGCGGGAUGGCAAGUCGGUCGUGAAAUCCCUCGGCUCAACUGAGGUACGUCGAUCGAUACUGCCGUUCUUGAGGGUUGCAGAGGAGACUGGAAUUCCCGGUGUAGCGGUGAAAUGUGUAGAGAUCGGGAGGAACACCGGUGGCGAAGGCGGGUCUCUGGGCCGUAACUGACGCUGAGGAGCGAAAGCGUGGGGAGCGAACAGG